rnacentral:rRNA from 1 species
UACGAAGGGUGCAAGCGUUACUCGGAAUUACUGGGCGUAAAGCGUGCGUAGGCGGUUUGUUAAGUCCGCUGUGAAAGCCCUGGGCUCAACCUGGGAAUUGCAGUGGAUACUGGCAAGCUAGAGUGCGGUAGAGGAUGGUGGAAUUCCCGGUGUAGUGGUGAAAUGCGUAGAGAUCGGCAGGAAGACCAAGGGGGAAGCCAGUCACCUGGGCCCGCGCUGACACUCAUGGACGACCGCGUGGGGAGCGAACCGG